rnacentral:tRNA from 1 species
UCCCUGAUGGUCCAGUAGUUAAGACUCAGCAUUUUCACUGCUAAGGGUCUGGAUUCAAUCCCUAGUCGGGAAA